rnacentral:rRNA from 1 species
GUGCCAGCCGCCGCGGUAAGACGUAGGAGGCGAGCGUUGUCCGGAUUCAUUGGGCGUAAAGAGCGCGCAGGCGGCUUGGUAAGUCGGAUGUGAAAUCCCGAGGCUCAACCUCGGGUCUGCAUCCGAUACUGCCCGGCUAGAGGUAGGUAGGGGAGAUCGGAAUUCCUGGUGUAGCGGUGAAAUGCGCAGAUAUCAGGAGGAACACCGGUGGCGAAGGCGGAUCUCUGGGCCUUACCUGACGCUCAGGCGCGAAAGCUAGGGGAGCGAACUGGAUUAGAUACCCCCGUAGUCC